rnacentral:rRNA from 1 species
GACGAACGCUGGCGGCGUGCCUAAUACAUGCAAGUCGAACGCAGUGGGGACGGGUGAGUAACACGUGGGUAACCUCCCAUCAGAGGGGAUAACCCUUGGCAACUGGUGCUAAACCGAUACUGAUUGAUGUACCCGCGGGGCAUUAGCUAGUUGGGGAGGUAACGGCUCACCAAGGCCACGAUGCUUAGCCGACCUGAGAGGAGGAUCGGCCACACUGGGACUGAGACACGGCCCAGACUCCUACGGGAGGCAGCAGUAGGGAAUCUUCCGCAAUGGACGAAAGUCUGACCCAGCAACGCCGCGUGAGUGAAGAAGGUUUUCGGAUCGUAAAACUCUGUUGGUAAAGAAGCGGUAACUAAAGAGAAAGCAACGGCUAACUACGUGCCAGCAGCCGCGGUAAUAC